rnacentral:rRNA from 1 species
GAUGAACGCUAGCGGCAGGCUUAAUACAUGCAAGUCGUGGGGCAGCAUGAGUGUAGCAAUACAUUUGAUGGCGACCGGCAAACGGGUGCGGAGCACGUACACAACCUUCCUAUAAGUGGGGAAUAGCCCAGAGAAAUUUGGAUUAAUACCCCGUAACAUAAUGAUGUGGCAUCACAUUAUUAUCAUAGCUUCGGCGCUUAUUGAUGGGUGUGCGGCUGAUUAGAUAGUUGGCGGGGUAACGGCCCACCAAGUCUACGAUCAGUAGCUGAUGUGAGAGCAUGAUCAGCCACACGGGCACUGAGACACGGGCCCGACUCCUACGGGAGGCAGCAGUAAGGAAUAUUGGUCAAUGGACGCAAGUCUGAACCAGCCAUGCCGCGUGAAGGAUUAAGGUCCUCUGGAUUGUAAGCUUCUUUUAUCUGGGACGAAAAAAGGCGAUUCUUCGUCACUUGACGGUACCAGAUGAAUAAGCACCGGCUAACUCCGUGCCAGCAGCCGCCGUAAGAC